rnacentral:lncRNA from 1 species
AUGAUCUUCAUUCCGGUCGAGCUCAUCCUAUUAUUUUGUAUUCGUUCACUACACUCCGCCAUCCUAUACCUUGCUAAAGAAAAGCCUUUAGAGUUGAAAUGAUAUCGACCCUCACUCUCGCGUCUUAAAUCCAAGCUAAACGCUCUAUCGAUCCGAAACUUGUUUUUGGUUCAAUUAGCCGAGCAUGGAAAGAGCCCUGCUUCCCUUAUGAAAAGAAAGAAGCCUCACCGGAGGUCAAGCUCCAAUGGACAUUUUAAUAAGAAUACGCGGGCUUUCCUACUUGAUAAGAAGAGGGACUUCCAUACUCGCUCAAGGGAGGUUAAAAAAAGAAGGAGAUACGGGCCUGUAUGAAAAUAGUAUGACUUGAGAUUGGAAUAGUAGGAAUUCCUGGUUUAGAGUGGACCUCUAGGGUCGGCGAUGUUCAGUCUGAACCUUGCUGGGCUAAGAGCUCGAGUUGGAGUAGUAGUUGGACAAAAUCACUCUCUGGCCGGAGUCAAACACGUAGUCGUGACCUGUCCCAUUCCAAUCGUUACUCCUAUUUCUAUAUAUGUUUAGGGAGAAAGAAUUAGGUUGCCAUCAACUCUAGGUGGAUCGGAGUCGGUCUUGGAUUGGAUUUCUUUUCUGCUGGUGAG